rnacentral:rRNA from 1 species
GCAAAUAUGUGGGCGGCAGCGGGGGUAGAACGGAGGAGGCGGGCGUGAAGCGUGAUGACUGGGCGUAACGGGCAGGGAGGCGGCAGGGUAAGGUGGAUGGUAAAUCCCCGGGCGGAACGGUGGAAGGGCAGUCAAGACGGCCUUGGUCGAGGGGGGGAGAGGGAAGCGGAAUUCCAGGUGUAGCGGGGAAAUGCGUAGAUAUCUGGAGGAACAUCAGUGGCGAAGGCGGCUUUCUGGCCCAACACUGACGCUGAGGUGCGAAAGCGUGGGGAGCAAACAGGAUUAGAUACCCGGGUAGUC